AAAUUGAAGAGUUUGAUCAUGGCUCAGAUUGAACGCUGGCGGCAGGCCUAACACAUGCAAGUCGGACGGUAGCACAGAGAGCUUGCUCUCGGGUGACGAGUGGCGGACGGGUGAGUAAUGUCUGGGGAUCUGCCCGAUAGAGGGGGAUAACCACUGGAAACGGUGGCUAAUACCGC
rnacentral:rRNA from 1 species